GCUGUCCCACGGCCUGGGGGGGGGCAGGGGGCUCCACCGCUCUGCCUCACCCCUAGCUUGUUCGGGGGAGGGGUGGCUGGCAGGUAUUGUGUACUCAGGGCCACUGUGGAGGGGUUGGGGUGCAAUGGGGGCGUGGAGCUGCAGGUCCCUGGAACAGAGCAGGGGCAGUGUAGGAGGGGCACCAGGAUAGGUCUGAGAAUGGCCCAGCCCUGCCUUGAUCAGGGAGCCACAGGAGCGGCCCCUGGCAGCAGUGCAGCUCCCUGCUGGCUUCCUUGCGCCCUUUGCCCUGUCCCUCCUCCCCAGCCACCUGUGGCCGUCUUUGUCUGUCCUCUGCUCACCUGGGUCCUACAGUCCCGUCCCUCGUUCCUGAACUCACAGGCACAUGCCCUCAGUUCCCGCUCCGAAACCAUCACUUUUCCGUUACUUGAGGGAGGGGGCACCUGGGGGAGUGCCUCUAAGGACAUAGCUGGGGUCUCGCUAGGGCCCGGCAUCCUCGUGGAUGCAUGUGUUGGGCUUAUGGGACUUUGGCUGGGGGACGGGAGUCAUGUCACCUCCUGCUUCCUGUCAUGGGGGGGCACCCCUUCUCUGAUUUAAUCCAGCCUUGCACUUCCUCCCCUUGGGUUUGUGAAGCCCAGGAGGCUCAUGGCAGGGCAGGUGUCGCAGAUGGCAGGGUGACCUUGAAGAGGCCACCUUCCACAGAGCCCUCUGGUGCUCUGCUGCCUCGUCUGUGGAAUGGGCGUGAUGCUGCUUCACAGGUGCUUUAGGACCGGGGCGACAGGGGGGUGCACGUCUCUCUGAGGUGCUGGCAGCAGAAUAAGAUGGGCCAGCAGCACCCUGGGGUGCUUUGCUCGCCUCUCCAUGCGGAAGGACCAGACAGCAGGGCAGGGCCGGGUGGCACCCACGUGUGCCUGGGGCACCUGCGGAGGCCAGGACCCCUUUCGGGUGGGUGUGGGUCGGGUCCCACUGCCUUCCCUGGGCCUUUUGCCUACAUCCCCUCCUUCUAAGCCCAGAAGUACGAUGAGUGCUUUGGCUGGAGAGGCCAUUGCGGGGCUGACCUGCUGUCCCCUGCUUCAGAGUUCCGGCUCGGAGACUGGCCCUGCCUUCUGUGCCUUUCUAAGUCUCAUCUGCCAAGGGAUAUCAGUGAACAGAAGACUCGAACCUUCGUGGAUUGAAGAGGAGCGUUUUUAUUUGGGCCCACGUGAGGACACGCCCCAGAGCGGGGCUCCAAGGAGCCCCGAAACCGGGUGCGACUCAGCAAAGUGAGGGACGUCACACAGACAGGAAGACAAAGGGACGCAGCCAUGCACCGGCAGCCUCAAGUCCAAAGCACAUUUUAGUGUCCGCGGGGAACAUGUCGAUGUGACUGGCAACGGAGGUGGCCUUAGCUCAAAACCCAUUUAAACACUGUGUCACCGAGACAGCAAGGCACAACCACGGGAGGGCCCCGAAGCCACCUUAGGGGCCUGCUCGGACAUCAGCCCCAUUCUUUGCCGGCUGAGGGGCAGCGGGCAUGUGGAGAGGCCACUGGUGGGAAACCCGGAUUCAGACCCCGGCCUGCUGAGUGACGUUGGCUGCAGGCCGGGGCAGAGGUUGAGGGUCCUGCCGGAUGGCCGGGCCCACCACUCUGGAGCAGAGCAGAAGCUGCAGAGCCGUGGGGACCUGGGCGCGGCAGCCCACCUUCUUGUGUGGGCAGCUCAGGCGGGGUUCUGGAGAUGCCACUGGGUCCCCAGGGGUCACUUCAGGGCCAUAAGGAACUAUUCCCACCCUCUUGCCUUGGAAAACACCUGACCCGCAGGCGGCCUUCCUCAGAGGCUCUCCAGAUUAGUCCUUUUUCCUUAGAAUUCCUAGGACAGGAAGGGUCUUCCCCACCCGACCUGCAUUCUGAAGAUGCUGGAGACAGUCACCUGCCCUUUGAAUGACCUGUUUUUUGCCUUAACGUCUGUUUUUUUCACGUGACACAUCAUUAGCAAACAGCAUUAGAGCUGCUGCCUGAAGCAGUGGCCGUCUGCUCCCUAGGAGUGAUGCUCCCGAGUGUCCUCUGGAACCUUCUCUCCGUGCUGUGUCAUUGCUGGGUGUGACCUCCCAUCCCUCUGGAGCCCCUGGCCCGAUCCAGAUGAUUCCAGUCCUGGAACGUGGGUGUUGAUUUUGCUGUUUUCCCAAGAAAGUCCGGAAUUGCUUAAUAUCCUGAUUGCUUAAUCUCA